AAUCCCGCGAGGACAACCAGGAUAGGACAUCGGGCUCCGAACCCGAAGACCGUGGGUUCAAAUCCCACCGGUCCCU
rnacentral:tRNA from 1 species